AUCACUUCGGUACAGUCUAGCUUUGCUGUUAAAAAAAUUUACGAAAGUUGACGGAACGUCGAUUUCUUUCAAUCACGCGUUACCAGCUGGGAACAAGAAGAAACAACAGAGGAAGAAAUGAACAAAUUUGAGGAGUUGCUGUAGUUGCCGGGCGACGGGGCUUUAAAAAUGGCCGCUUGGUUUGUUUACAUUUUGCGAGCUGCAACCUGUGAUGGCUGAGCUUGAACGAGAGGGACGUGCUAGCUGAAAUUCGGCUCUCGUGGUUAAGGUUAGAUCAAAUCAAAGUGGCCACGGAAUGUGUUUUCUUAGCGUACGUGUCUUGAACCGCCGGAAAGGCAGCCUUUUCCCAGGAGACCGAAGAAACACCUGCCCGGCGGAGUCGUUGGCCUAGCCUGUUGGUGGCAUGUGCGUCUCGGCGAGCGAAAUAUGAGCAACUCGGACGAAGAUGCUUCCAAAUCGGCGUCUAGUCGCGAAAUUAGACACCUGACGCAUUCGGUCGAAGACAGUAUCGUCAGCAAAGUCAACGAGCUCUCAUCCGCGCUCCUCGACACGAGCACCAACAUUCACUGCUUGAACAGCAAAAUUCAAGCAUACCGCCAGGAACAAAAUGCUGCCGUUGAAGUGCUCAAAGAAAACGUUGACGUUUGCCUUAGGCAUAUUAGCAGUCGGGAGGCAACCACGCCACUGCAGUUGACGAGUGCACGGGACUCCCCUACAAACCCAUGGCGCAUGGUACGAGACAAAGAAACUACCAUCCUUGAACUCGAGAGAAAGAAUGACCACUUAAGGGCAAAGCUUGAGAGUGCGCAGGAAAAGCUGAAGGAGAAGUCAGACGAGCUGUUGACUUCGUCGAGGCUGCUCUCGGAGAAGUCACAGGAAGCGUUGCUGCUCCAAGACAGCCUCGUCAUAGCGGAAAGAAGACUAGCUGAAAGCCAACGAGAAGUUGAGAGGGCAGCGCUGCGUCUCCGGCACGUUGAAGAGGAUUCCGAGAAGCAGACGACACGAAUGAAAAACGAGAUUGCUCGCUUGGAACGUGAACUCCUCAACGAGAGAGAAAGGCAUUCAUCGAGUCUGCAGGGUUUGCAGCAGGAGUUGAAGCAGGUGCACCUUGAGUCAAGUUCGUGGCAAGAACGUUACAUGCGUGAAAAGCAGAAGACGUCUCAGUUGUCUGAAGAGAUAGCCCAGUCGAGAAUACAGCGUCAAAGGUUUCAAAAACCAGAUGGUGCCAGGAGUGAAGACGAUACUGACAAUCUGGAGAAGGGAAACAACCUAGUGCAGAGUCCGGAGUUGGAGGAUAUGAAGACGAAGUAUGAUGAUCUCAAGAAGGAAUUGACCCAGCUAAAGCGAAAAGUUGCUCAGAAUGGAAGUGCUCAAGAUUUCUCAGGGAUAGCCAGUCCUGAGGAGUUUAACAGGUUGAUCUUGGAGAAGCGGGACAUUGAAGAGGUGUGCCUGAGUUUCGAUCGCAAGUUUCAAAAGCAGACUCAAGUGUUGAAGAGACUGGAUCAAAUGCUGAAGGAGUCGGAAGGGAAAGUGGAAAAGCUGACUCAAGUGAAACUUGAAAAGCAGAAGAGCUACCAGGAUUUUGUGCAGUAUGUUGGAGAAAAGCUCGAUUUCGUUGUUGGAUUGCUUUCUAUACGCUCUGCGGACACCUUUCAAGCUUUGUUUGCCUCUGAACUUGCUGGGAAGCGGCCACUGUCUUUCCAGGUGGCAGAAAUUAAGAGCAAGUUUCACUGGGUAUUGCAAGAAAUACGGUCCCUGUGUCUCGGUGAGGCUGAGUUGAAAGCGCAAUCCAUUUCCUAUCCAUCACAGGCUCACCAUUGCAGCUCCAGCGGAUCUGAUCCGAAGGUGAAGGCAAAAAAGUUCUACCGGUCUUGAUACUGCUGCCUUUUGUUCUUUGCGUGCAAGCAUCCUUAAGUUACGGAUCGCAAAGCUGUUCAUGUCUGCACCUCACUAGAACGUUGUCUUGACUUCGUAUGGACAGGUAUGACUAUUUGUUAACGUAAACAUGUUCUGACAGCUCAUCAUGGUGAGCACAAACCUACAAAAUCAAAUUUUAUGUAAAUUUCUUGGCUCUAAAAGUUAAAUGUUUGCUCAUAUGCUGCAAGAAGUCUUUCCUUCAUGCUUUGUUCCUUUGGACAUGGUUGUUGCCAUAUCGAGCAAACGACGUACAUUUUUGUCGUGGGUAACUGUAAACACAAUAUAUUGAAUGUCAUUAUCUACCAAUGGCAUUAAGGUUUCUUGUGUAAUGGGAAUAUUUCCUGUGUUCCGUGGGACUACAGGUACUGAUUGCAAAGUGAUACUGUUGCUGUACCUGUGGCUUCUGUAUUACCUUGUUUUAUACGUAAGUUUUUGAUGGCAAGUCUUUCCACCUCCCCUGUGACUGUGAAUUAAAGGGACACUAAAGGCAAAUAACAAUUUACGUCAGAGUGAAAGCUCAAUGUAUGACAACUUCUAAAACGGCAAUAUUGUCAACAGCAGUGCCCUACUUACCGAGAAAUUAAUCUAAAUGUAUCACAUGAUGAGAGCCACGAGGGGGACAUUUUCGAAGUGAUCCCGAUGACGUAUGAGAGUCUGCCUACAAUAAAUCACUAGUAAUCAAACUAGCAGCAAUAAAAAAAGAACCUUCCGUGCAUCAAAAGACGUAAUAAAAUGCUGUUUGUUCGUUUCCGUUUGAUUCAUGGAAAAAAGAACCUCUGUGGCGUUGCCAUGGGGAACGGCGCGCGUGGUGCAAAGGGUUCGUUUUCGCCGAACUGCGCUUCGCCCGGCGCCCUGCUUCGCUCACGCGGUCGCAUCUCAGUGGUAGUUUCGGGAUCGCGUACUGCCGCGUGUGUUUUGCGCGCUCGUGAAAGUCGCUCUGACAGAAAGUUCGACAAAAUGCCGCAAGCAACGACGCCUGAACUACGAGCCCUCAGCAGCAUACCGCGUUCAUCGGGGCUCAAGUCGCUGAAUUGGAACCCAGCGUCGCGAGCCAAUGUCUCGUUGUCAAGUUCUCCGUCCACAUCCAUUGCGGUGAUUGCGGCAAGCUUCGAUGGCUUCGAUGACCGUUGUUGCUGCUGUGUGUCCCGCUACUUUCGCUCUGCUGCUACUAGUGUCGGCGGCCGCGCAGUACGGGCGGGCAACGUUGGGCACGGCAGCAGUGACGUAUGAAAGUCGGAUUUCAGGCGGGUGAUUUGAAGAGCGCUAACGCGAUGCGGACCACUAAAACGUGAUUUUAUUUCAAAAUAAGCACUUCUUUGGCAUAAAAGUAGCACUAUGAGGUUUCUGGACCGCUAUUUCAACAAUCAACGUCGAUUUAAUAUUUGCCUUUGGUGUGCCUUUAAGCACUGUGUCGUGUUGAUCUCCUUGGCAAGGGCUUGCUCUUCUUUUGUGUUUGGAACUUAUUGUGGUGUAUUUUUAGUAUUUGCCAUAGACUCAUGAUUUAUGAUGACGUAUUUUUUUUAACACCGCAGCUUUUUACUGGCAAGGUUGCUGCUUUGUUGUACCAUAGAUGCGAGUAUUUAUUUUUGUCAUUUUAUAAUAAUAUGUUUGGUUUGUUGCACAUGUCGAAUGUGAUUAGCAAGGCAUUCCAGCUUAUGCGUUUUGACAGGGUCAGGCCGUUUUGUGAUGUUUACUACUUACAUCUACUUAUGAGACAGUAGUUUAGUUUUAUCUUUAUCUGAUGGUUAUCUUAUCUUUAUGAUUAUGGUGUAGUAAUGUUUUUAGUUGAAACAUGCAGUUUGAAACACUUCUUACUUUGAUAAAGUUUUACAGAAGUAAGCUUAUCUUGAUCCCAGUCAAGACAGUUAACCUCCAGCAGCUACUUGAUGACUGAGUGUUUGAAGAAGAAAGCAUAGAUGUAGAAUGGCUAUGAACGUUCACUUCAUGUGUUAUAUGUAGAUGCCGACGGAAACUUUUGUGACACAUUCGGCAUAGUAGAGACUGUAAGAGGUGUUGUGCCAGGCAGUUGAUGUUAUCAGAGUGUUUCACUCUGGUGCAUGAUAGUCAUUCCUUAGUGUACAAUUUUAGACUGGGGUGUGCACAACAGGUUCAUUUUUUUUAUGAAAGUCCUGUUGAGGUCUGUUCUCAGAACAACUACAUGACAUUUUGUUAGUGCUCAUACAUUUUGUGAUUUUCCUGCAUUUGCAGCAUACUUGAACGAACGAACAAAAAAAGUUUUAGUCUUGAGAAUAAAGGUGCAGUAUUGUUGAAAUCUGUCACUUGCCAUUUUUUAUCUGACUCAUUUUGAUCAGUGUUUUCGUGUACCUGUAGCAGUUUCUCAGUGGUUGUGGUGUUGCACUGCUGAGUGCAAGGUCGCGGAUUCGUUUCCGGUUGCGGUGGCCUCAUUAUGAAGUGUGCUAAAUGCAGAAACACUCGUUUGCCUUGCGUUGUUAGUGAGUGCUAGUAAAAUAAAAUAUGUAAUGAUCGUCGCGCCACCCGGCGGAGCAGAUCUCAACCACGCGCUUGUUUCGACGUGGCCUCUGGGAUCCGCUUCGGCAAACUGUACGAUAUCGCUGGUUCUGGUUGAAGUUAAGAACUAUAUUGAAAUGUAAUAUCGGAGCAUAAAUUUACCAA